CAUCACCAUGACAACCAACGUCAUGACGUCGGCCCGCCUAUCCGGCGCCGUUUGAUUACGUCAUCCAGAAGCUCCCACUGUGUUAGCAGUGGAUAGCGGGCGGUCAGCGGCGUGGGACAGUCAAAAGUACAUAAAGAGCGUCAUUGUUUCCAUCCGCGCGGACGGUUCUGUGGAGGAAGAUGAAAUGUAACACCGGUAUUCUACAGGAGAAAUAGGAAAACUACGUCAGAAGAAUUUUAAUAAACCUCCGCUAAGGGGAUGAAAAGGGGGUGACAUAAUGCCGCCAUUACCAAUGCGUGGCUUGCGUUACGUCAACAAACAAUAACGCCCAAACGGACAAUCGGAUGAAAAUUUGGAUUACACCUAACUUUAAUAAAGUACAAAAAUGGUCCUGUUACAUUUUACCGUAUCUGCUACGGGCGCUCCUCGGGUAACGCCAGGAACCAUGGAUUAAUAUUUACUUACAUUAAGACGUCUCAAAUUUACAUCUCUAUACAUUUACCACAGUUUUAACACUCAUUUAUAUUUACAACCGUGCCAAUCAGAAACUCCCAAGGAAGAACGUGUAGAAAGCUACAGGAGUUUAUAAUACAUCUAUCGUGCUACAUACAUUUGCGCUGCGCAGAAUCCUGCCACCCACACUGAGCAGCGAUGUAAGAUCCUUUCUGUUUCCUUUUUAUUUGAUACAUUAAACCACUGGCUCCGGUUACACUAGGCAUCGCAGCGCCUGUCCGCGCACAACAGCAUUCCGUCUCCGUGACACCGCGCUCAUAAGGGAUUAAAAGGAAAAAAAAAAUAUUACGGAAUGAAGUAAAACUCUGCGAAUCGAAAAUUGAAGUUCUCGUUCCUAUAUUUCACUUUCAAAAUAUUUAGAACUUUGACAGAUAUGACAUUAUGUUUUCAUUAAAACAGCUGAUUUCAGAACGCUGCUCUCCGCAAAAACACCAUAAAGAGUUUAUGAUGAACUGCCAGGCUCUUAAUG